rnacentral:misc_RNA from 2 species
AGUCAUCAACCCCAAACGUUUUGUGCGUUCUGGCGGUUGGAGCUGGGGGCUGCUGCCGUGAGGCUGCUCCCCUCAAAUGCAUCGGUUGGACCUGUGGGUCGAACUCGGCUGGGCGUUGUACCAUCCUCGCUCUCACCUGAGAUGUUCCCCUUUGUUGUGUCCUUCCACAGACCCCUGCCCGUUGGAGUUGGCGGUCAACACUUUGAAA